CGCGGCCUAUCAGCUUGUUGGUGAGGUAACGGCUCACCAAGGCAAUGACGGGUAGCUGGUCUGAGAGGACGAUCAGCCACACUGGAACUGAGAUACGGUCCAGACUCCUACGGGAGGCAGCAGGAGGGAAUCUUGCGCAAUGGGCGAAAGCCUGACGCAGCGACGCCGCGUGGGGGGUGAAUGCCUUAGGGUUGUAAACCCCUUUCACGAGGGAAGAAACUGACGGUACCUCGAGAAGAAGCCCCGGCCAACUACGUGCCAGCAGCCGCGGUGAUACGUAGGGGGCGAGCGUUGUCCGGAUUUAUUGGGCGUAAAGGGCUCGUAGGCGGCUUGGCAAGUCGGCCGUGAAAACCCAGGGCUCAACUCUGGGACGCCGGUCGAUACUGCCAUGGCUAGGGUCCGGUAGAGGGGAAUGGAAUUCCCGGUGUAGCGGUGAAAUGCGCAGAUAUCGGGAGGAACACCAGUAGCGAAGGCGGUUCCCUGGGCCGGCACCGACGCUGAGGAGCGAAAGCGUGGGGAGCAAACAGGAUUAGAUACCCUGGUAGUCCACGCCGUAAACGUUGGGUACUAGGCGUGGCGUCUUAUCAACGGAUGCCGUGCUCGAAGCUAACGCGUUAAGUACCCCGCCUGGGGAGUACGG
rnacentral:rRNA from 1 species